CCGCCCGUCACACCACGAGAGUUUACAACACCCGAAGUCGGUGGGGUAACCCUUACGGGAGCCAGCCGCCGAAGGUGGGGUAGAUGAUUGGGGUGAAGUCGUAACAAGGUAGCCGUAUCGGAAGGUGCGGCUGGAUCACCUCCUUUCUAUGGAGA
rnacentral:rRNA from 1 species